GAUGCCUGAGCAGAGCCGGUUGGGAGCAAGGAGGAGCUCGUGUGGAGCUUUCCGUCGUCGACGUCACGCCGCGGAGCCGUCCGAGCAUACGAGCAUCGCCGUAGUUUCACGAGGAGGCCGGGCGAGGAAGUGUUUCCGUCGUUCUCGACGCCGUGCCGGAAUUGGAGUCGCUGUUAGAGGUGGGUAGCUCUCUUUCCUCCAUGGAUUUCUUCUCUACUUCAAGCUCCAUUGAAUCCGAGCAUUGUGCUGUUUUCGCAGAAUUUCAGUGUCGACCGUCGGUGUUUCGGCUCGUUUUCCGCGCAGGAGCAUCGGAACGUGACGCGACUUGAUUCGUUGGAACCGAGACUUCGAGACGAAUCCAUAGGAUCCUUACUCGCCCGAUUUGGAGAAGUUCUCUGUGUAGGAAUGUCGAAACGCGACGAAAUUUGGCGUGCUAGAUUCGCGACUUCGAGACGAAGAUUCUGAGCCCAAGAUCGCGAUUUUUGGAGCAGGUUCCAGCGUCGACGUUUCGUAUUCUGGCCCGUUCUCUGCGUAGGAGCGUCGGAAUUCAGCGAAACCUGGGCCAUUGGAUUCGUGACUUCGAGACGAAGCUUCAGGACCCUUGUUUGCUGAAUUUGGAUAAGCAGGAGAACCGGGGACUUCGACGGACCAGCGAGGGAUCAUUUUGGAUCCGGGCCACUUUCUUCGCUGCCAGGAGUUGCUUGAGAGAGCCACAGGUGUCGGCUGCUGCAUCUUCCGCCGACCA